rnacentral:sRNA from 1 species
AACAGCAAGAACAACAACAACAACAG